CAGGGAGACAAUAAAUUGAUUGUGAUGUCUAAGUUAUUUAUUCUUAGGCCGCAAUCCUGUCACCUUAAGGUCAAUCGGUACCUCAGAUUUUUGAAUUAGUUUUAUAAUUGAUUCUUUGAUUUCAGUUCCUAAACUUGUCUAGGUCACACCCAACAAAGGUUUCUCCUGGGCCAUUAGCUCGGGGGGGUAGAGCGCACCCCUGAUAAGGGGGAGGUCCCUGGUUCAAGUCCAGGAUGGCCCAUUCGUUGUUGGGGGUAUAGUUCANUUGGUAGAGCGCCUGCUUUGCAAGCAGGAUGUCAGCGGUUCGAGUCCGCUUACCUCCACUGAAAACUAUCCUGAUAACUAANUUCUGGAUAAAAAUUGUAAAUGUGGCUUAGAAUUGUCUAUUGAAAAAGAACCUAGCUUCUUAUCAUCUUCUCAUAGUUGAUAAAAUGCUGGGCUCCCAUGGAUUAUUUCUAUGAGAAUUCUNAGAACCUUGAAAACUGCAUANAUUAGAAAGAAUAAAGAAUCUCAUGGAUGCAUAAUUCUGUUUUUAUAAUUUANNCUAGGAACUAAAUUAUGUAAUUUCUAGAAUUCAUGUUUAAUA
rnacentral:tRNA from 1 species